rnacentral:rRNA from 1 species
GAUGAACGCUGGCGGCGUGCUUAACACAUGCAAGUCGAACGAAGCACUCUAUUUGAUUUUCGUCGGAAAUGAAGAUUUUGUGGCUGAGUGGCGGACGGGUGAGUAACGCGUGGGUAACCUGCCUCAUACAGGGGGAUAACAGUCGGAAACGACUGCUAAUACCGCAUAAGCGCACAGUAUUGCAUGAUACAGUGUGAAAAACUCCGGUGGUAUGAGAUGGACCCGCGUCUGAUUAGCUAGUUGGUGGGGCAACGGCCUACCAAGGCGACGAUCAGUAGCCGACCUGAGAGGGUGACCGGCCACAUUGGGACUGAGACACGGCCCAAACUCCUACGGGAGGCAGCAGUGGGGAAUAUUGCACAAUGGGGGAAACCCUGAUGCAGCGACGCCGCGUGAACGAAGAAGUAUUUCGGUAUGUAAAGUUCUAUCAGCAGGGAAGAUAAUGACGGUACCUGACUAAGAAGCACCGGCUAAAUACGUGCCAGCCGCCGCAGUAA